ACCCUAACCGUGCAAAGGUAGUGUAAUCAUUCCUCCCAUAAAUAGAGAUUAGUAUGAACGGAUAAAUGAGGGCCGAACUGUCUCCUUUGGCACCCCAAUGAAACUGAUCUCCUAGUCCAAAAGCUAGGGUAUUAACAUAAGACGAGAAGACCCUGUGGAGCUUCAAAUACACCGACUACCACCAACCCGCCAGUAGCAAAGUUUUUAGUUGGGGCGACUAUGGAGCAAAACAAAACCUCCAUGAUAAUGGCUAACACCCAACCAUAGGCCUACAAGCCAAUAAAAAAGAUCCAGUACCACUGACCAACGAACCAAGUUACCCCAGGGAUAACAGCGCCAUCCCUUUAAAGAGUCCAUAUCGCCAAAGGGGCUUACGACCUCGAUGUUGGAUCAGGACCCCCAGGCGGCGCAGCCACUGCCAAU
rnacentral:rRNA from 1 species